rnacentral:rRNA from 1 species
GACGAACGCUGGCGGCGUGCCUAAUACAUGCAAGUCGAACGCAGUGGGGCCGGGUGAGUAACACGUGGGUAACCUCCCAUCAGAGGGGAUAACACUUGGAAACAGGUGCUAAACCGCUACUGCUGGAUGGACCCGCGGUUCAUUAGCUAGUUGGUGCGGUAACGGCUCACCAAGGCCACGAUGCAUAGCAGACCGGAGAGGGGGAUAGGACACAAUGGGAUUGAGAUACGGCCCAGACUCCUAAGGGAGGCAGCAGUAGGGAAUCUUCGGCAAUGGAGGAAAGUCUGACCGAGCGACGCCGCGUGAGUGAAGAAGGUUUUCGGAUCGUAAAACUCUGUUGUUAGAGAAGCGGUAUCUAACCAGAAAGCCACGGCUAACUACGUGCCAGCAGCCGCGGUAAUAC